rnacentral:rRNA from 1 species
UGAACGCUGGCGGCAGGCCUAACACAUGCAAGUCGAGCGGCAGCACGGGUACUUGUACCUGGUGGCGAGCGGCGGACGGGUGAGUAAUGCCUAGGAAUCUGCCCUCCACUUUGGGAUAACACCGGGAAACCGGUGCUAAUACCGAAUAUUGAAACAUAAGUGGUCAUCACUGAGUUUUGAAAGAAUUUCGGUGGAGGAUGACUUCGCGGCCUAUCAGCUAGUUGGUGAGGUAAUGGCUCACCAAGGCAACGACGGGUAGCCGGCCUGAGAGGGCGACCGGCCACACUGGGACUGAGACACGGCCCAGACUCCUACGGGAGGCAGCAGUGGGGAAUAUUGGGCAAUGGAGGAAACUCUGACCCAGCGACGCCGCGUGCGGGAUGAAGGCCUUCGGUUGUAAACCGCUUUCAGUAGGGAAGAAGCGAAAGUGACGGUACCUACGAAAACGAAGCACCGGCUAACGUAUGCGCCAGCAGCCGCGGUAAUC